rnacentral:tmRNA from 1 species
UGCAAAUAGCUGCCGACGAAACUCUCGCUCUCGCCGCCUAAAUAAACGCGGCGACGUCCCCCGGAGCUCCGCCUGCCGGCUCCGGGUAGGGCGACAGAGAGGCGGGCUGGGCUACUUCCCGCGCCCUCCGGGGGUAGCCGAGAGCUAAGAGGGCUGGCUCUGGGACGCCUGCCCGUGGGCUAAUCCCAGAGCGAGAAGUAAAACACGGGCUAAGCCUGUAGAAGCUACCCGAGCCGCAUCUCCGGACGCGGGUUCGAAUCCCGCCACCUCCACCA